GGAGGGACUCGAUUAGAUAUAUUAUAGUGAGAUCUAGAUCGAGAGACAUGAAUAAAGAUAGAGAUAGAGACAUAAAAAUAUAGAGAUAGCCCAUCUAUAGAACAUCGAAAGUAUCAUGCUGGUGGAAGUAUAAAUAUUGAACAUCUAUAUGUUCUUUUCCUCACCCAAAUAAUUAACCAUGGCAUCCAACAAGAUUGUAGGGGUGCCUGUUGUCUUCAUCCUCGCCUUGCUCCUUGUUUCCGGUUAUGUGGAGGCGGAAAUCUGCGCAAGGCCUAAUCCUCAUUAUCCUGGCGCAUGCAGGAGCAAUAAGGACUGUGCAGGCUCGUGCAUUCAGCAAAACCUCGGCACCAGCGGGUACUGCAAGGGCAGUGUCCCCCUUUUCAAAUCAUGCUAUUGUACCUUUGAAUGUCCCAUGGAGGACGAGGCAGAGGAGGGAGGGCACUAGUCGUGAGCCGCCAUCUGCAUGACUAAAUUCAAAGUAUCUGAGUGUUUAUGCAAUUGACCUGUGGAAUAAGGCGGGCAAAAUAAACAAUAUAUUUGUACACAUCCAUGCUUUAAGAAAUCGUGUGAAAGCAAUUAAGAGAUAUGAACAAAACUGUUAUUAUUUGA